ACCAUGGGCAUGUCCCGUGAAAUGUAAAGUCCACUGGAAUGUGGCAGCGCUUCGGCGUUCUUUGGGUCAGAGAGGGUGAAAACCCCGUUUACAUUCAUUGUGGGGCGUGUCUGUUGUGUGGGCGUGUUGAAGAGUCGGAUUGUUUGGGAAUGCAAUCCAAAACGGGUGGUAAAUUCCAUCCAAGACUAAAUAUUAGCAAGAGACCGAUAGCGAACAAGUACCGUGAGGGAAAGAUG
rnacentral:rRNA from 1 species